rnacentral:pre_miRNA from 1 species
CAACUACUCCCUCUGUCCCAAAUUUCUUGUCUUAGAUUUGUCUAGAUACGGAUGUAUCUAAUACUAAAAUGUGACUUGAUACAUCCAUAUCUAGACAAAUCUAAGACAAGAAUUUUCGGACGGAGGGAGUACUUU